CAUGGAAAAUUUAAGCAUGGGAAGUUUGGCAAGCGGUGGAAGCAUGGAAUGUUUGGAAAGCACAAGGGCAAACUCUUUAAGAGAUGGAAGUGAUUCUUACCUAUUUGACUCCCUCUCUUAUUAUACAUGCACCAGCUUUCUCCCAUAUCUGAUUUGGCUAUUCAGAGAUUGCUUUCUGUUUCUCCUAAUGAAUCUACAUUCAGUUUAGUAAUCGC
rnacentral:misc_RNA from 1 species